UAACAUUUAAUUCUGUGGCUGCACAUUUAACGCACUGUUUUUUGAGAUGGUCAAAAUAGUUUCGAACUCUAAACGAUUUAUUUGAGUUUUAUGAUUUCUUUAUGUUGUUAUAUUGAUGUGCCAAACAUCUUUGUUGUUAUACUGAGUUCAAAAAAUAAAUAUUGCACUUGAUGAGUUAGAUUUGCUUGGAUGUCAAUGGAAAAAAUCAAUGAUUGAGUUCAGAUGUUAGUGUUUAAGACUGAAUGUAACGUGAUUUAAAUGCCUUUCGGGUCUUUUCCGCAUUUCAGGUGUUUAAUAAUUCAAAAUCAUGCCUUCAUCAGUGUGUAAACUAAAACUCAGUGGCCUUCGAUCUGUUUAAUGCCUUCUGCAUCUGUCCAGCUCUUAGAUUUCUAGAUUCAGACUGCACAAAUAAUUGUACAGUUUUGUAUAUAAAAUGAAGCCUUUUUUUUGGUGGAUUUAUAAGAAAAUAUAAUAAAAAAGUCUCUCUGAAAGGCACAUAUUUGGUCAUUUUUGUGUUGUGUUGUAUUUUUUUUUUUUUUUGCAUUUUUUUCAUCAUAAUUAUUAAAAAUAACUCCUCUACUUCUGAAUUCCUGGGGCAGGGGAGAGAGUGAGUGUCCUGGGACAGGUGAGGGAGUGAGUGUUCUGGGACAUGUGAGGGAGUGAGUGUCCU